CCGAACAGGAAGUUGACAUGAAAACAAGGUGCAUCUAACGUUACAUAUCGUUGUGUGAAAAUCUUUCAAUGCCACUAAGAUGCCUAUACUUUGAAUUUAAAGCAGCACAGAAAAAAUAGAAAAGAUACAGGUGGUUUAAAUCUUUCAACGGUGGGGUUCUUACCGACGAAACAAUCAAUUUUAUGUCGGAUAGCCAUUCUGUGGUGAUGAAAUGGUAGAUGGUUCAAUUGAAUUCUUGAAACCUGCAGUCCAGCAGUUUCUUAUUUCCUGAAUUGGCAUAUUAUCUCCAGUUAGGAGACUUCCAGAAAACAUGUAUUGUUUACAAUGGCUGAUUCCAGUGCUCCUUAUCCCAAAGCCCCUGAGUCCAGCACUUGUGUACAAUCAGUCAAUGUUUAUAGUGCUUUAUUUGACUGGAUUCUUUCUGGAGAGGAAGCCCUGCACAAUCUGUAGUGUUGUGUUUGUGGCUGCCAUGUUCCUCAUCUGUUACAGCUGUUCAGGAAACUGCCUGUUCUGGCAUUGUCCAGAAGACUCAUGUGACCAUACGGGUUGUGGUACUUGAACCUGUAAUCAACAGAUUAUACAACAUAGAAUAGCAAUGCUUGUGUUGGAGCAUCAUCAACAGUGCUGUGUGAUUUUGGAACAAUGUAUACAUACUUGUUUCUUGGUGAAGUUUGUGUACAUGAAAAUACUUCUGUAAAUGGUAGAUAUGGUAUACUGACCAGGGGAUAUUGAGUACUUUUGUUUUCUCACAUUUCCGUUCCUUAUAUAUAGCACCGAGCUUCGAGCCAUGGGAUGUUUUAGAAUUCAUCAUAUUGUAGAGUUGGUGUAAAACACCUUUAGUUUUGGGAAGUAUACAUGCAUCAUAAAUAUUAUGUAGAUUAUAUCUAACAUACAUACUUUUAGAACAUCUAUACCUAAAACAAGCACCUGUGGCUAGUAUUUACGCCAGUCCCUGUCUUCAAUCAUCUGAAGCAUGACUAUGGUAAUACAUCUACAUACAGAUCAGUACAAAUACAGAUUUUUGAAUCACCAUGUUUAACGUAUAUAAGAAAGAGCCAAUUAAGCAUUGAAAUGGGUUAGAAUAUAAUUUUAUAAAAUUAUAUAAAAUUGUUUAUUGCGGACAAGACUGAGAUUAAUCUAAUAAAUAAGAUUUUGGAUGAAGGUUAAAGUUAUUGGUAUAAUACUGCUAUAGUGAAUACAUGACAAAAUUUUCAUCAUUAUUGUUUCGUUAUUCCUCAAUUUUGGGAGUACAAAAUAACAGAAGGAGAAAAGAAAUCAAAUUGAAAUAGACAUAUUUAUAUGUUGAAUGACAGAAUUAAAUGUAAAUUGUGAUAAAGAAUGACAUCUGAUCUGUUUUAUUUAACUCCAUAUGAGUAGCAUAUCUUGAUGUAUUUCACAUCACUUCGGCGCGAAAGUAGAUUUCUGUUGAUUUCUUUAGAAGGUGUGCACAGUCUUUUGUAAAUUCUUCAGUUAAAGCAUCACUGUACCUAGAAUCUAAUAAAUAAUAUUUAAUUGGUAUUCUGCUAACUGGUAUUCUGCUAUGAAUGCUUGACAAACUGAAGAAAGCAACUUAUUUUGGUUUAAUAUGGUGAUACUGCAGUAUUUUAUAAUACCAAAGAUCAUGUGUGAGUAUGAUGUAAGAAUUGUAAUCUAGCAUGUAUAAUUGAUCAUAUAUAUGCACUGGAAGCUCAAAUUUGUUUCCAUUGAACAUCUAUAAAUUACAUGCAAUAUGAAUAAAAUACUGGUAUUUGAAAUGAUAUGCAUUUUCCAUGGAUAGCUACAGCAGUAUAGUGACGAUCUAUCGGGUGCUUGUAUGCGGAAGACAAUUCUGGAAUUCACUGAACUGUGAUACAAAUUAUGCUAAUCCAGUCUUUUGUUUUAUUUAUCUUACAAAACUACUCUCAUAGUUGAUUUAAAAGCAACUACUUCACUGUAUAUCAGGAAACAUUUACCUGGUAAGAAAAUAGUGAAUUUAACAUUGUUAGGAAAGUUACGCUAUAUAGCUACACUCCUUAAAUUAUGGUCUGGGAAAGUUUUUAUAGCUUAGAAACAUCAACUUUUUCGUCAGAGAGCAAAUAUUUUCUGUGGUAAAUGUUUCAGGAUAUACAGCUACUCUCUUUGUUAACACAAAAUUCAUGCAAUUUAAUGAUAUGCAUAUUUUGUGAAUUUUAAUUGUGUGAUAUCAAUUAGAAAACAGCUAUAUUUAGGUAAGCCUUAUAUAUAAUAUACCUAAACAGAAUGAAUGCAUGCUUGUACAGUUAUAAUAGUAUGUAGUGCAAUUGCCAAAUGAUGUGUAAAUGAUACAGACUUUUACCUAUUGCCUAGAUUACAAUGUAUAUAUCUGUAUAAGUAUUAUUCUUUAAAAUGUACAGCUAGAGGUGUGAAGGUUUCCUGUUAAGAGUAUUGGACUCUUGUUGUGAACUAGACACCUCUGAAACCAUAUCAGUUGGCUGGUUUGUAGAGAGAUGUUGUUAUUAUCAGAUCCUAACUAUCUGGCCUCUUCACACAAAAAUCAUGGUAUUCUGUUUUAAUAGACUAAGUGCACUUUACAGUUGGUAAUCAUUUGGCUGAAGUCUGCUAAAAUUGACCAUAAUCACAGGCUACACAUUUCUGACCAGUCAUCUGGAUUCUGCCAUUACCACACCUUUUUUGAUGUGCUUGUUUUGUUAUACAGUGAGGCAUUUCAAUUGUAUUGGUAGCAAUCAUAUGGACUUAGCACAAAUUCCCAACUCAAGGUCCAUCAUCUUUUAUAGCCAAGGGUUAUAAUUAAAAUGGUUACGAUAUGCCUACACUCAGCUUAGGAGGAUUGUAACCCUUGGUUAGCAAAGAUGAAGGUCCCUAUGUACUGUUAUGUAUUUACAAGGUUUGGCAACCACAUGUGGUAAUUCAUUUUUUUGUUGUGUUUGUGCCAGAGUUAUCUGUGAGACAGCUGUAGGUAUACAUGUACAGCUGUAUAUAUAUGUAGCUUCCUUCAAUGGAAGUCAUGACAUAUGGCAAUGUCUCUAGCACCUUUCUAGAUACAUUACCUUCUGUAUAAGUAAAUUUAAUUGAACGGCAGUGAGGGUGGGGUCGGGAUGAGGUGGGGUUGAAAGGAAGGGGUACAUAAUGCAUUAUUUCAUCAUAGUGUCAACACUGUCAUCCUCUAUCAGUGUUGUGGGAUGUAUACAUGCAUGUAUAAUGAAGUAUUAUAUAGACUUAAUUUGUUUUACAAUGUCCAUUUUUGUGGGUAUUUGAUUCAUUUGUAUCCCAAAAAUAAUGAACACACUGGACUCGUGUAAUCUGUUUUUAAACAUACCCGUAAAAUGUGAAAUGUUACACAGCACAUUCUUUUUAGUGUGGUGAAUUAUAUACUCUCCUUUACCACUAAAUGCUGAGGAUUCUAAUGGUAGCUCAAUCGUCAUCGUCAAAAUCUACCGAAAUUCUUGAGGAGAUCUAUACACCAAUGAAUGGGAAAAACAAUGGCAAAGUCUUUCUCUAAUAUUUUUAUUUUAUCACAAUAACAUAUAUUUAUAAAAUAUCAUAUUAGAUGGUCAACGAUAUACCCAUCAGCUUCAACUAUGAGUUUUGCAAAACCACACAAAUCGGACACAUUACAAUGAUGAAGAGUUUCUAUGGAUGACAGGGUAAAUAUGGUUUCUGUUAGUAAGUUGUCUAGGGUUUGGAGGAUAGUCAGGGGUUACACCCCAUUCCAGUGUGUAUACUGUUAUAUAGGUUCACUAUAAGGACUGUAAAUGUGUGUCAUUUAAUAUGUAUUAUGAAAGUACAAUUACUACUGCAAAUGACUGAGAUUAAAAUGCAAAGCAUUCUUUGUAGUCAUAUAUAUCUAAUCAUGUAGAAAUGAACCAUGUGAGUUAUGUUAAUCUAAUGUUUUAAAUGAAAGAGUUUUUAAUCACCUGAUACAUUUAUAAUGAGAAAAGGCUCUUUUGGAUGGAGAAUUAUAAAAGGAAAAAUAUUAAACACAACAAUGAUUCUUUGACAUUCUUCAGUAAUGUCCAAAUUUCUGUUGGUAUUUUUGUAAUAAAAUGCAGAAAAAUCACAUGUUGCCAAUACAAUAUCAAGGUCAUUGCUAUUACAGUACACAAUGCUUCUAAAGAAAUGUCCUCAAUCUUCUAGCUGCGUGCUUUAUAAAUUAUUACAUAACAGGUUUAAUUGUGAGGUCCAAGACCAGUCUUAUUCUGUAAACUCAAUUCUUUUUCUGCCUGCUGCAUAUGGAACUUCACACAUUUCGUGUUCAGUGCACAAAUGUAAAAUGCAAAGUUUAAUAUACAACAAUUUCAAGUCAAAUUAAAGCAACUUAUAUUAAUCACUUGUUGACCUGCAGGUCAGAGCAUGCAAAAGGUCUAACCAUGGGAGGAAAUUUGAGAAUUUGAGAAAAGUUCAGAAAACCCAUUUGGUCUAGAAGGUAUAUAACCCCAAGACCUAUCAUGGCCCAUGAUCAGGGAACUUUGGUUGCUCUGGUGAAAGGCAUACAGAUAUAUUGUACUAUUUGGGGUUAUGGUUCUAUAGACCCACUCUUUACAGUCUGAUACAGCUGGCAUUAGAUAUAUUGUACUAUUUGGGGUUAUGGUCCUAUAGACCCACUCUUUACAGUCUGAUACAGCUGGCAUUAGAUACAUUGUAUGGUCCUAUAGACCCACUCUUUACAGUCUGAUACAGCUGGCAUUAGAUACAUUGUAUGGUCCUAUA